CCCUUAGAUGUUCUGGGCCGCACGCGUGCUACACUGAGUGGAUCAGCGGGUCAGGUUACGCGAGAGCGUUUCCUAAUCUUCAAAUCCGCUCGUGAUGGGGAUUGACGGUUGCAAUUUUCCGUCAUGAACGAGGAAUACCUUGUAAGCGCGGGUCAUCAUCCCGCGCUGAAUACGUCCCUGCCCUUUGUACACACCGCCCGUCGCUCCUACCGAUUGAGUGGUCCGGUGAGGCUUUGGGAUCUGAGCAAAAAGAGCGUUUCGCUCGUUUGGCUCGGAAAACUCAGUCGAACCUUAUCAUUUAGAGGAAGGAGAAGUCGUAACA
rnacentral:rRNA from 1 species